AACGAACGCUGGCGGCAUGCCUAACACAUGCAAGUCGAACGAGACCUUCGUGUCUAGUGGCGCACGGGUGCGUAACGCGUGGGAACCUGCCCUUAGGUUCGGAAUAACUCCCCGUAAGGGGUGCUAAUACCGGAUAAUGUCUUCGGCCAAAAGAUUUAUCGCCUUUGGAUGGGCCCUCGUUGGAUUAGCUAGUUGGUAGGGUAAAAGCCUGCCAAGGCGGCGAUCCAUAGCUGGUCUGAGAGGAUGAUCAGCCACACUGGGACUGGGACACGGCCCAGACUCGUGCGAGAGGCAGCAGUGGUGAAUCUGGGACAAUGAGCGAGAGCCUGAUCCGGCAAUGCCGCGAGAGUGAUGAAGGCCUUAGGGAUGUAAAGCUCUUUUACCCGGGAUGAUAAGGACAGAACCGGUAGAAAAAGCCCCGGCAAACUCCGG
rnacentral:rRNA from 1 species